ACGACAAUUCCAGGGCUCUACCCUGGGCAGUGCCCUUAUAUCUAUUUAGCUUCGACGUACGCUAGAGGUACGCGGAAUACCCAGGCGAGAGGUGAAAGUCGGUAGAUUAUAGGGUAGAACACCAGAAGCGAAGCCGUCUUACUGGUCCAUACUGACGCUGAGGCGAGAAAGCGUGGGUAGCAAACAGGAUUAGAUACCUGGUAGUACACGCCCUAAACGAUGAGUGCUUGAUGUCGGGAAUAAUUUCGGUGUCGAAGCUAACGCGAUAAGCACUCCGCCUGGGAAGUACGGUCGCAAGACUAAAACUCAAAGGAAUUGACGGGGACCCGCACAACGCGGUGGAGCAUGUGGUUUAAUUCGAAGCAACGCGAAGAACCUUACCAGCCCUUGACAUCCCGAUUAAGGAGAAUAGAGAUAUUUUCUGUCGGUUCGGCCGGAUCGGUGACAGAUGCUGCACGGCUGUCGUCAGCUCGUGUCGUGAGAUGUUGGGUUAAGUCCCGCAACGAGCGCAACCCCUAUCUUCAGUUGCCAUCAGGUAUGGCUGGGCACUCUGAAGGAACUGCCGGUGACAAGCCGGAGGAAGGUGGGGAUGACGUCAAGUCAUCAUGGCUCUUACGGGCUGGGCUACACACGUGCUACAAUGGUUGCUACAGAGGGCAGCGAAGCUGUGAGGCUGAGCUAAUCUUUUAAAAGCAAUCUCAGUUCGGAUUGCACUCUGCAACUCGAGUGCAUGAAGUCGGAAUCGCUAGUAAUCGCAGAUCAGCACGCUGCGGUGAAUACGUUCCCGGGUCUUGUACACACCGCCCGCCACACCAUGGGAGUUGGUUUUACCUGAAGUCAUUAGGGUAACUCGCAAGAGGGCCCGAUGC
rnacentral:rRNA from 1 species